UCUUUGUUUAAAGUUUCUCUUUUAUCCUCAAAGCCUUCAGGAACUUUGUUUCUUCAAGCGAAAUAGUCUUGUGUUUGCUGUGUAAUAAAGUAUUAGGGGAUAGGCCUGUAUUCAUGCUUGAUAUAAAAAUCACAGGGGAGCAGCAGCUAGUUGAGUGGGCUAGAUUAAUGAUUUAAGGAGGGAAGGAAUCGAGUGCAUGGCAAGGACUAAUUUGUAGAAUAUCUAAGCAUAAGCAUUCUGUGACAUUUCUCAAGGUUAAAGGAAUAAAAUAAUCUUCUAUAGUCAAGCAGGGUGCAAGCCUGCAUAAUACAAAUGUGUGUAUCCAAAGAAAGAAACGUGGUAUUAUUUUUGGUUUCAGAAUAAUACAACCUGUCUUCAAAAGAUAUUCUUCACAAUAGCAUUCUCAGAUAAUUUAAUAGUGGGGGACACAGGUGAUGUUUAUUUUCUUGUUUUUGUUUCUUUGUUUUCAGAUGAUCUACAGUUAAAUUGUGCUAAUUUGCCAUCCUCCAAAAUUAAGGUAGAAGAAUACCUUAAAUAGUCUUUGUUUUGAAUCUACAAUCUCUUCAUUAGAAACAUCUACAAAUGCAGUAAAUUGAUCAAUGGCAUGGUUAUCCUCUCAUACAAAGGAGAUACAUCCACAUUGUCAGUGUCAACACUGAGGAAGAAAUGGAGCAGCCAACUGUUCAACUGAUCAGAGUAUUCAAUCCACUAAUCAAAGAGAGCGAUACAUUUAGGGGAGAGGAUCUUCCUAUUAUAAAUACCCUAUAUGCAUUUUUGAAGAAAAGAGUUCAUUCUCCUGUAUCAACAUUCAAAACAUCUAAAUUGCAAAGCUAAGUCUAAUGUUUUUUAAAGUCACCUAUUCUGAUUAAUUAAGUCCUUAGCAUUACCACUGUUUACAUUUACUCAGCAGAAAGCAGAGAGGAAAUCUCAAAACAAAGAACUUUUGUGGCCUCAGGGAAGUGUGAACCAUAAAGACAAUGAAAAUAAAAAUAAACAAAAUGAUGCUCA
rnacentral:lncRNA from 1 species